UACGUAGGGGGCAAGCGUUGUCCGGAUUUAUUGGGCGUAAAGAGCGUGUAGGCGGUUAGGUAGGUCCGUUGUGAAAACUCGAGGCUCAACCUCGAGACGCCGAUGGAAACCAUCUGACUAGAGUCCGGAAGAGGAGAGUGGAAUUCCUGGUGUAGCGGUGAAAUGCGCAGAUAUCAGGAAGAACACCAGUGGCGAAGGCGGCUCACUGGCCCGAUACUGACGCUGAGGCACGAAAGCGUGGGGAGCAAACAGG
rnacentral:rRNA from 1 species